CGCAUCUGUGCAUGCAGCAUAUCAAUAAGCGGAGGAAAAGAAACUAACAAGGAUUCCCCUAGUAACGGCGAGUGAAGCGGGAAGAGCUCAAAUUUGAAAUCUUAAAGGGUUUCCCUUUACGAAUUGUAGUUUAAAGAAGUGUUUUCUGUUGAGGUUUUGGUAAAAGUUCUUUGGAAUAGGACAUCAUAGAGGGUGAGAAUCCCGUAUUUGACCUUUACUUUCAACUUUGUGAUACACUUUCAAAGAGUCGGAUUGUUUGGGAAUGCAGUCCAAAAUGGGUGGUAAAUUUCAUCUAAAGCUAAAUAUUGGCGAGAGACCGAUAGCGAACAAGUACCGUGAGGGAAAGAUGAAAAGAACUUUGAAAAGAGAGUUAAACAGUACGUGAAAUUGUCAAAAGGGAAGCGUUUGACACCAGUGUUGUUUUUCUGAAAAUCAAUUAAAGAACUGUUUAUGCUAGCUGUUUAGACUUUAUCAGCUAACUGUUUAGUUUUGAGCUUUUCUUUAAUGCACUUUUCAGUUAACAAGUCAACAUCAAUUUCUUUUGCUGUAAAAAAGCUUGAGGAAGGUGGCUUGAGAUUCGUCUUAAGUGUUUAUAGCCUCUUGCCUAUGCAGUCGGAGAGAUUGAGGUCUGCAGCGUAGAUCCUUCGGGGCUAAAUGCAUUUGUGCAUAAGUUAUAGCAUUUUAUAGACAACUUGUUGACUAUGAUUUGUCUUGUAGCUUACUCGCUUACGUUAUUUUACCUACGCUUAGGAUGUUGAGUCAUCACACAUCUCU
rnacentral:rRNA from 1 species